GACGAACGCUGGCGGCGUGCUUAACACAUGCAAGUCGAACGGUGAAGCGCCUUCCUUUUUGGUGGGUGUGGAUGAGUGGCGAACGGGUGAGUAACACGUGAGUAACCUGCCCCCUUCUUCUGGAUAACCGCAUGAAAGUGUGGCUAAUACGGGAUAUUCUGGGUCUGUCGCAUGAUGGGUCUGGGAAAGAUAUUGUUUCGGUGGGGGAUGGGCUCGCGGCCUAUCAGCUUGUUGGUGGGGUGAUGGCCUACCAAGGCGGUGACGGGUAGCCGGCCUGAGAGGGUGGACGGUCACACUGGGGAUGAGACACGGCCAAGACUCCUACGGGAGGCAGCAGUGGGGAAUAUUGCACAAUGGGCGCAAGCCUGAUGCAGCGACGCCGCGGGAGGGAUGGAGGCCUUCGGGUUGUGAACCUCUUUCGCCAGUGAAGCAGGCCUGCCUCGUUUGUGGGUGGGUUGACGGUAGCUGGAUAAGAAGCGCCGGCUAACUACGUG
rnacentral:rRNA from 1 species